GAUGAACGCUGGCGGCGUGCCUAACACAUGCAAGUCGAGCGGUACUUCGGUACAGCGGCGGACGGGUGAGUAACGCGUGGGCAAUUUGCCCUUUGCUUUGGGAUAACAGUUAGAAAUGACUGAUAAUACCGAAUAUGCGCACACUGGGGCAUCCCAGAGGGCGAAAAGAUUUAUCGGCAAAGGAGAAGCCCGCGUCCGAUUAGAUAGUUGGCGGUGUAACGGACCACCAAGUCGACGAUCGGUAGCCGGCCUGAGAGGGUGAACGGCCACAUUGGGACUGAGACACGGCCCAAACUCCUACGGGAGGCAGCAGUGGGGAAUAUUGCACAAUGGAGGAAACUCUGAUGCAGCAACGCCGCGUGAAGGACGAAGGCUUUCGGGUCGUAAACUUUUUUAGCCAGGGACGAUAAUGACGGUACCUGGAGAAUAAGCCCCGGC
rnacentral:rRNA from 2 species